rnacentral:rRNA from 1 species
AGUGAACGCUGGCGGCAGGCCUAACACAUGCAAGUCGAACGGCAGCACAGUAAGAGCUUGUUCUUACGGGUGGCGAGUGGCGGACGGGUGAGGUAUACAUCGGAAUCUACUUUUUCGUGGGGGAAAACGUAGGGAAACUUACGCUAACACCGCAAACGACCUACGGGUGAAAGCAGGGGAUCUUCGGCCCUUGCGCGAUUGAAUGAGCCGAUGUCGGAUUAGCUAGUUGGCGGGGUAAAGGCCCACCAAGGCGACGAUCCGUAGCUGGUCUGAGAGGAUGAUCAGCCACACUGGAACUGAGACACGGUCCAGACUCCUACGGGAGGCAGCAGUGGGGAAUAUUGGACAAUGGGCGCAAGCCUGAUCCAGCCAUGCCGCGUGGGUGAAGAAGGCCUUCGGGUUGUAAAGCCCUUUUGUUGGGAAAGAAAAGCAGCAGGUUAAUACCCCGCUGUUCUGACGGUACCCAAAGAAUAAGCACCGGCUAACUUCGUG